CUAUCGCAUUCUUUUUAUCUCUGUCUCUCUCAUCAACAACCAUGUAACUCAUCUAAGAGAUAUCCAUGGCCAUCACUAAAAUCCAAUCCCCAUUUGGGCCCCAUCGUUUUCAAGAAAUCAUCACAUUAACGAGGAAGAGAAAUGGAGUGAAGAAAGUGAGUGUGAAGUUGUCAACCCCAAAUGUUAAGAAAGCAAAUCUUUUUGCAGCAAGGAAGGAGAGAAUAAAGAUUCCCAUUUAUAGUGAUGCUGAAAAUAGCAAUUAUCAUAUAAGUCAAUUUUUCAGGCAUCCAUCUGGGAUUGAAGCCAUCUUGAAUUUAAAGGCCUUGCAGAGUUGUCAAUCCCUUGAUUCCAAUUUGUAUAGGUGCAUUAAGCUUCUUAAUUUCGAGGUUGCGCCAGUUAUCGACUUACAAGUAACAUCAACUGCUGGAGAAUGUUUAGUCGAGAUGAUAUCUUGCAAGGUAUGCUUCUUGCAAAAAGGAUGGAAAAAACAGAUUGUUUUGAGAGUAUGCAUAAUGAAUUAGAAUAUACACUUGGUUUGUCGAUUCACACUCCAGUUUGAGGGUUCUGAUGCGGUGGAACGCCAGAACGAGCGCUUCUCAGAUAUAUACCCACCCAUUUGCUAUGCUGCCCCCAUCAACGGUUGAGGGUCCAGGAAAUAUAAUGAUGCAAGCACUGGUGGAUCAGCUGGUGCCAUUGCUUCUACAACAACUGCUCCAAGAUUACGAAGAACGGGUUUCAGAACAACGCAAGAGCAAGAGCAAGACCCUUCACUAAUAAAAUCACUUGGCAUACAUUGCGUUUAACAUGGAUGGUGAUACCGAACGCACAUAACGACAUUGUUUUUAUGGCUCGAAUUCCAAUUUUCUAAUGGAGAACAACUACCAAAUUCAAUUU